rnacentral:rRNA from 1 species
GAUAAGUGAGGCCCAGCAGCCGGGGUAAUACGGAGUGGGCUAGGGUUGGCCGGAAUCAUUGGGCGUAAAGCGGGCGUAGGCGGCCCGAUAAGUCCGCUGUAAAAGUCCAGGGCUCAACCCUGGAAGGCCGGUUGAUACUGUCGGGCUAGAGUCCGGAAGAGGCGAGUGGAAUUCCUGGUGUAGCGGUGGAAUGCGCAGAUAUCAGGAGGAACACCGAUAGCGAAGGCAGCUCGCUGGGACGGUACUGACGCUGAGGUGCGAAAGCGUGGGGAGCGAACAGGAUUAGAUACCCUAGUAGUC